UGCUUUCUCCUUAGACAAAGCGCCCCAUCUAAUCCGCGGUUGACCCUGGGCGCCCCUCCGCUUCUUCUUCACCCAGAGAUCGACAUCCAUCACUAGCAGUCUAUGAAGAGUUGAAAGAGACUCUCCCCGAAUAACCUUGCAGUCCUUGCACAAGCCCCUAUUGCUCCUUCGGAUGAGGAUCUAGUCAAUCUGAGUCCUCGCCGCCGAACUCUUGAAGGUGACCAAAUGCUCCCCCAUAUCGCUCCUUCGGAUGAGGAUGUAGUAUGCGAAUAUUCAACAAGCUAAUAGUGCUAUAGCUAGCAUGAACGGAGAGUUACAGGUUCUUGGAGAGCAGCAAAUUUUUGGAACCAUUGCUUCCGAACUCGAUCUAAGAUUCUCCAAUUUGUAACCAAAGUUUCUCAACCAAAAUUCGAACUAAGCCAGUGAUUAAUUCAAGGAAGCUC
rnacentral:lncRNA from 1 species